rnacentral:rRNA from 1 species
CUACCAAGGCGACGACGGGUAGCCGUCAUGAGAGGGUGACCGGCCACACUGGGAUUGAGACACGGCCCAGACUCCUACGGGAGGCACCAGUGGGGAAUAUUGCACAAUGCCCCCAAGCCUGAUGCAGCGACGCCGCGUGAGGGAUGACGGCCUUCGGGUUGUAAACCUCUUUCAGUAGGGAAGAAGCGCAAGUGACGGUACCUGCAGAAGAAGCGCCGGCUAACUACGUGCCAGCACCCGCGGUAAUACGUAGGGGGCAAGCGUUAUCCGGUAUUAUUGGGCGUAAAGAGCUCGUAGGCGGCUUUGUCGCGGUCUGCUGUGAAAGACCGGGGCUGAACUCUCUGUUCUGCAGUGGGUACGGGCAGACUAGAGUGAUGUGGGGGAGACUGGAAUUCCUGGUGUAGCGGUGAAAAUGCGCAGAUAUCAGGAGGAACACCGAUGGCGAAGGCUUGUCUCUCUGGGCAUUAACUGACGCUGAGGAGCGAAAGCAUGGGGAGCGAACAGGAUUAGAUACCCUGGUAGUCCAUGCCGUAAACGUUGGGCACUAGGUGUGGGGGACAUUCCCACGUUUUUCGCGCCGUAGCUAACGCAUUAAGUGACCCCCGACCUGGGGAGUACGGCCGCAAGGCUAAAACUCAAAGGAAUUGACGGGGGCCCGCACAAGCGGCGGAUCAUGCUUAUUAAUUCGAUGCAACGCGAAGAACCUUACCAAGGUUUGACAUGGACCAGUAACGCGCAGAGAUGCGUGCCCCUCUUGAGGCUGGUUCUGGGGGGGGGGGAUGGUUGUCGUCAGCUCGUGUCGGGAGAUGUUGGGUUAAGUCCCGCAACGAGCGCACCCCUCGUUCUAUGUUGCCAGCGGUUCGGCCGGGGACUCAUAGGAGA